rnacentral:rRNA from 1 species
AAUAGAUACCCCGGUAGUCCACGCCGUAAACGAUGUCGACUUGGAGGUUGUUCCCUUGAGGAGUGGCUUCCGGAGCUAACGCGUUAAGUCGACCGCCUGGGGAGUACGGCCGCAAGGUUAAAACUCAAAUGAAUUGACGGGGGCCCGCACAAGCGGUGGAGCAUGUGGUUUAAUUCGAUGCAACGCGAAGAACCUUACCUACUCUUGACAUCCAGAGAACUUAGCAGAGAUGCUUUGGUGCCUUCGGGAACUCUGAGACAGGUGCUGCAUGGCUGUCGUCAGCUCGUGUUGUGAAAUGUUGGGUUAAGUCCCGCAACGAGCGCAACCCUUAUCCUUUGUUGCCAGCGGUUAGGCCAGGAACUCAAAGGAGACUGCCAGUGAUAAACUGGAGGAAGGUGGGGAUGACGUCAAGUCAUCAUGGCCCUUACGAGUAGGGCUACACACGUGCUACAAUGGCGCAUACAAAGAGAAGCGACCUCGCGAGAGCAAGCGGACCUCAUAAAGUGCGUCGUAGUCCGGAUUGGAGU